GAGCAUCGAUGUCAGAACACUCGGCAAC
rnacentral:sRNA from 1 species